GACGAACGCUGGCGGCGUGCUUAACACAUGCAAGUCGUACGGUAAGGCCCUUUCGGGGGUACACGAGUGGCGAACGGGUGAGUAACACGUGAGUAACCUGCCCACAACUUUGGGAUAACGCUAGGAAACUGGUGCUAAUACUGGAUAUGUGCUCCUGCUGCAUGGUGGGGGUUGGAAAGCUCCGGCGGUUGUGGAUGGACUCGCGGCCUAUCAGCUUGUUGGUGGGGUAGUGGCCUACCAAGGCGGCGACGGGUAGCCGGCCUGAGAGGGUGACCGGCCACAUUGGGACUGAGAUACGGCCCAGACUCCUACGGGAGGCAGCAGUGGGGAAUAUUGCACAAUGGGCGCAAGCCUGAUGCAGCCACGCCGCGUGCGGGAUGACGGCCUUCGGGUUGUAAACCGCUUUCAGCAGGGACGAAGCUUUUUGACGGUACCUGCAGAAGAAGCACGGGCUAACUACGUG
rnacentral:rRNA from 1 species